UACAGAGGUCCCAAGCGUUGUUCGGAUUCACUGGGCGUAAAGCGUGUGUAGGCGGAUGCCUAAGUACCUUGUGAAAUCCCACAGCUCAACUGUGGAACUGCUUGGUAUACUGGGUGUCUUGAGCCACUUAGGGGUUACCGGAACAAAUGGUGGAGCGGUGAAAUGCGUAGAUAUCAUUUGGAACGCCAAUGGUGAAAACAGGUAACUGGGAGUGUGCUGACGCUGAGACACGAAAGCCAGGGGAGCGAACGGG
rnacentral:rRNA from 1 species